rnacentral:rRNA from 1 species
CCACUAUGCUUAGCCCUAAACACAAAUAAUUAUAUCAACAAAAUUAUUCGCCAGAGUACUACCGGCAAUAGCCUAAAACUCAAAGGACUUGGCGGUGCUUUAUACCCUUCU